GACGUAGGGUGCAAGCGUUGUCCGGAAUUAUUGGGCGUAAAGAGCUCGUAGGCGGCUUGUCACGUCGGGUGUGAAAGCCCGGGGCUUAACCCCGGGUCUGCAUCCGAUACGGGCAGGCUAGAGUGUGGUAGGGGAGAUCGGAAUUCCUGGUGUAGCGGUGAAAUGCGCAGAUAUCAGGAGGAACACCGGUGGCGAAGGCGGAUCUCUGGGCCAUUACUGACGCUGAGGAGCGAAAGCGUGGGGAGCGAACAGG
rnacentral:rRNA from 1 species